CCAGCAUUACAAAUAAUUUAUGCUUCCUUAAUAUUUUCUCAUUAUAAUUUCUCUCUUCUAAUUGAUAGAUGUUUUCUCAUAACAAUUUUAUAAUUUCAUUUGUGUAGGUCAAGAGUCAUCCAGUGAAAGCUCAAUCACCUGAUCAAUCUGGAAGUGUGAUCCUUGCCAAGGAACCUACAUUGCAAUAGGUGAAAUGCCAGCCAAGGUGCAAAAAUAUAAAAUCUGAUGUGUAAGACUGGAAUAACAUCAGUAAUUGAAUCAUUGUUGUCAAUUACAGCCUUCUUCCCCCUUUCCGUUAUAGUGGGAUGAAACUUAUUUU